rnacentral:rRNA from 1 species
AACGAACGCUGGCGGCAGGCUUAACACAUGCAAGUCGAACGCCCCGCAAGGGGAGUGGCAGACGGGUGAGUAACACGUGGGAACGUGCCCUAAGGUUUGGACUAUUCCCGGGGAACUGGGAGCAAUACCAAAUGUGUCCGUAAGGAGAAAGAUUUAGCGACUUAGGAUCGGCCCGCGUCAGAUUAGGUAGUGGGUGGGGUAAUGGCCUACCAAGCCGAGGAUCUGCAGCUGGUCUGAGAGGACGACCAGCCACACUGGGACUGAGACACGGCCCAGACUCCUACGGGAGGCAGCAGUGGGGAAUCUUGGACAAUGGGCGCAAGCCUGAUCCAGCCAUGCCGCGUGGAUGAUGAAGGCCCUAGGGUUGUAAAAUCCUUUCGUUGGGGACGAUAAUGACGGUACCCAAAGAAGAAGCUCCGGCUAACUUCGUGCCAGCCGCCGCCGUAACAC